UGAGGAAUAUUGGUCAAUGGGCGAGAGCCUGAACCAGCCAAGUAGCGUGCAGGAUGACGGCCCUAUGGGUUGUAAACUGCUUUUAUAUGGGAAUAAAGUGAGGGACGUGUCCCUUAUUGCAUGUACCAUACGAAUAAGGACCGGCUAAUUCCGUGCCAGCAGCCGCGGUAAUACGGAAGGUCCAGGCGUUAUCCGGAUUUAUUGGGUUUAAAGGGAGCGUAGGCUGUUUGUUAAGCGUGUUGUGAAAUGUAGGAGCUCAACUUUUAGAUUGCAGCGCGAACUGGCAGACUUGAGUGCGCACAACGUAGGCGGAAUUCAUGGUGUAGCGGUGAAAUGCUUAGAUAUCAUGACGAGCUCCGAUUGCGAAGGCAGCUUACGGGAGCGCAACUGACGCUAAAGCUCGAAGGUGCGGGUAUCGAACAGG
rnacentral:rRNA from 1 species